rnacentral:rRNA from 1 species
GAGUUUGAUCAUGGCUCAGGAUUAACGCUGGCGGCGUGCCUAACACAUGCAAGUCGAGCGGCAGCGAGUUUUACACUGAAUUUUUGAGGCUCCUGGUUUAGAGAGGAGAAUCAUUCGAGAAUUUUGUGUAAAAUGUCGGCGAGCGGCGGACGGCUGAGUAACGCGUGGGAAUGUACCCCAAAGUGAGGGAUAACGCACCGAAAGGUGUGCUAAUACCGCAUAUGAUCUUCGGAUUAAAGCCUUCGGGCGCUUUGGGAACAGCCUGCGUCAGAUUAGAUAGUUGGUGAGGUAAUGGCUCACCAAGUCAACGAUCUGUAACUGGUUUGAGAGGAUGAUCAGUCAGACUGGAACUGAGACACGGUCCAGACUCCUACGGGAGGCAGCAGUGAGGAAUCUUCCACAAUGGGCGAAAGCCUGAUGGAGCAACGCCGCGUGCAGGAUGAAGGCCUUCGGGUUGUAAACUGCUUUUAUAAGUGAGGAAUAUGACAGUAACUUAUGAAUAAGGAUCGGCUAACUACGUGCCAGCAGCCGCGGUAC